rnacentral:rRNA from 1 species
UCUGGUUGACCCUGCCAGUAGCAUAUGCUUGUCUCUGAGACUAAGCCAUGCAUGUCUAAGUAUAAAUUAAUUUUUACGGUGAAACUGCGGACGGCUCAUUAAAUCAGUUAUAACCUACUUGAUCGUGUGACUUUAUUCGGAUAACCCUAGUAAUUCUAGAGCUAAUACGUGCUAAAAGCCUUAACUUCCAGCAAUGGGGGAAGAGGUGUAUUUAUUAGAAACUAAAACCAAUCAGCUUCGGCUGUUUGAGAUGAUUCAUAAUAACUCGGCAAAUUACGGGAAAAUUCCUGUGAUGAUUCAAACGGAUUUCUGACCUAUCAACUUUAGAUGGCAAAGUAGGGGUUUGCCAUGGUGACAACGGGUGACGGGGAAUUAGGGUUCGAUUCCGGAGAGGGAGCCUGAGAAACGGCUACCACUUCCAAGGAAGGCAGCAGGCGCGCAAAUUACCCAAUGCUAAUUCGGCGAGGUAGUGACAAGAAAUACCAAUGUAGGACCCAACGGGUACUACGUUUGGAAUGAGAACAAUUUAAAAACCUUAACGAGGAACAAUUGGAGGGCAAGUCUGGUGCCAGCAGCCGCGGUAAUUCCAGCUCCAAUAGUGUAUAUUAAAGUUGCUGCGGUUAAAAAGCUCGUAGUUGGAUUACGAAGUGGUGUUUAAAUGUCAUUUUGGUUUGUUUGUCUUUCGGGGCAUUCAGGUCAACUUGGCUUUUACUCACUGUUGUCAUUGUCUUUGCCCAAGGUAUAUGCCUUGUGUGCAUGGCAUUGACCUUCUAUUUUAUGGUAAUGUUGUAUCUUUCGGGGUACAUUCAUUCCAUAUAGUUUACUUUGAAAAAAUUAGGGUGUUUAAAGCAGGCGAAAAGGCUUCGGAAUAUAUUAGCAUGGGAUAAUAGAAUACGAUCUAGGUCGUAAUUUGUUGGUUUCUACGGCUUAGGUAAUGAUUGACAGGGAUAGUUGGGGUCGCUCGUAUUGAGUUGUCAGAGGUGAAAUUCUAGGAUUAACUCAAGACGAACUAAUGCGAAAGCAUUCGGCAAGGAUGUUUUCAUUAAUCAAGAACGAAAGUUGGGGGAUCGAAGAUGAUCAGAUACCGUCGUAGUCUCAACUGUAAACUAUGUCGACCGAGGAUCCGGUAGCGUUACAUGGAUGACCUUCCGGGCACUCUGUGAGAAAUCAUAAGUAUUUGGAUUUCGGGGGGAGUAUGGUCGCAAGGCUGAAACUUAAAGGGAUUGACGGAAGGGCACCACCAGGAGUGGAAUCUGCGGCUUAAUUUGACCCAACACGGGAAAACUUACCAGGUCCGGACACAGUGAGGAUUGACAGAUUGAGAGCUCUUUCUUGAUUUUGUGGGUGGUGGUGCAUGGCCGUUUUUAGUUGGUGGAGUGAUUUGUCUGGUUAAUUCCGUUAACGAACGAGACCUUAACCUAUUAAAUAGCUGCGCGAACCCAGGUUCUUUAACCAUUCUCUCCUUCGGGGGGGC